rnacentral:rRNA from 1 species
UACGUAGGGUGCGAGCGUUGUCCGGAAUUAUUGGGCGUAAAGGGCUCGUAGGCGGUUUGUCGCGUCGGGAGUGAAAACCUCGGGGCUUAACUCGGGGCUUGCUUUCGAUACGGGCAGACUAGAGGUAUGCAGGGGAGAACGGAAUUCCUGGUGUAGCGGUGAAAUGCGCAGAUAUCAGGAGGAACACCGAUGGCGAAGGCAGGUCUCUGGGCCACUACUGACGCUGAGAAGCGAAAGCAUGGGGAGCGAACAGG